UACUAUUUGGGGGUUACUGCAUAAUCAAAAGUACACAUUACUUUGGAUUUUUGCUUUAUUAGCAAUAAUUUAGUUACAAAUAUGUAUGUUAUCCGCUAGUGCAUUUUUCACUUUUAACGCAACCAAGCAACACAACAAUUUUUCUGCUUUAACUUAUUGGCACUUUGUCUCAGAAAUCCGAUAAGAACCAAUGCAUUUUUGUUAUUGUUAUUGUUUUUUUUUUUUUUUUCGUUUCACUUUAUUUAUGGUGUGUUUAUUGUUAUUCGAAGUCGACGCAAAAUGACUGAUCUUAAGGAAGAAUCUUUCUACCAAAAGCCGUCGUCUAGGUUGACUUAAAGGGAGACUGCUACUGGCGUAGGCAAUGCUUAAGCGGCGAACACGUUUCAAAUCGAUAAAGUAUCUUAGUCGGCACUCGAACUACGGCAAAGUAUCUGCGAUGAAUUUAAAGAAAACGAGAGAGCUAAAAGAGAGAAAAUACUUGACACCAAGGUGUCCACUCAAAUACUGUGUCUUCGAUUUUCUCACACUCCUCACUCUCCCUCUAUCUCUGUGAAUGUGAAAGAAACUAAAUGAGAAACACAAGAAGACCACUCAAAGUGUUUGGUUCUUGAGUGAUCUAAAAAGUGUCAAAUUAUUGAAAAUUUUUGUUUGUAGUAUUGUUUACAUUCAGAGCUGAUAAUAAUCGGAUCACAUCGAAGUGACAGUUUAGUGGUUGCUUAGCUUAGUGUGUGCCGGUCUGCGUUGAACAAUGUUCGCAUAGAGCACACGUGCUCUGUGUAGACUCUUAACAUUAAGAAAAUUCUGAACAAUAAGAUUGAUGAACUUUGAUUUAUUUUUGAGAAUUCGGGUUUGGAUGCUAUUUGUGUAUCGGAGACGUGGCUGAAAGAGACAACUCCUGACUAUUUCAUUAAUCUUGAAGGGUAUACGGUUUUCUGGGCUGAUAGACUACGCAGCAAUAUAACGACUCGCAUGUGUGCCAGAUCGGAUGAUAUCAUUGAAUAUGUGUUCAUCGAAAUAUCUGCUGUGGAAAGGAAGCUGUUACUUGGCCAAAACAACAACUAUAGGCCAAACAACAAUAUUGACAUGGGACCAUUCAUGGAAAUAGUGGAACACCUCACUAUUACCUACUCGGAUGUAAAUACAGCAGGUGAUUUUAAUUCUAACAUCCUUUUGGACACAAGUCUCACCGUGGAGAUAUCUUCGUUGCGCUUAUUACCGACCAAUACAUCCAUGCCGACUCAUUUUUCGUCCAGUUCCAGCACCCUUCUAGAUUUGUUCUUUGCCAGUGAGAUUUCAAGUGUUCCUUGUAUGCCCAACUAUCCGCAUCGUGCUUCUCUAACCAUGAUUUAAUUUUUCUGUCCUACAGCUUUGACAUUCUUAGAAGGGAGGAGUCUUAUUCAUAUAGAGAUUACGGUAGUCGGGACCACGAAGCCCUGCUUUCUUUAAUUUCUGAUAUCGAUUGGAGUUAAUUGCACCAUAUGGAAUCGGUAGACGAUCAGGUGAACAUUUUGUCUGGAAAUGUGUGUGCUAUCCAGGAUCUUAUGCUCUCGGUCAGAAUGAGACGAAUUUGGCCAAGGACUAAAUCUUGGUUUUCGGCAGAUACUCGUGUUGCAAUUGAAAUCCGAAACACUGCAUACUGUAGAUGGAAGCGUUUUAGGACGUCGCACCUACGAGAGGAAUAUCGCUCCUACAGAGCAUGAGUCAAUAAAUUGAUAAAAUCUGCCAGUCAACUACUACCUCAAACGUUUCACCUCGGCGAUCGGUUCGAAGAAGAUUUGGAAGGUCAUUGGCAUCGGUUGCAGAUCCCCUGAUAACUUCACUCCAUCAGUUUCUGAACUUUUAAUUUUUUUUAUUUGUUUUUUUUUUUUUUAAUUCACUCACAUUUUGUACUAUUUGGGGGUUACUCCGUCAUCAAACGUACACAUUACUUUGGAUUUUUGCUUUAUUAGCAAUAAUUAAGUUGCAAAUAUGUAUUUUUUUGCUAGUGCAUUUUUCGCUUUUAACGCAAACAAAGCAACACAACAAUGCAGAUGAUGUACAGGUCUAUAUAAGUAGUCCUAAGGAAUAUCUAGAAGACCAUGUCACGAUGCGGAACCAUGACCUGUCUCGGUCAUAAGAAUAAAAUGAAUUUGGUAUAAAAUGUUUUAA
rnacentral:sRNA from 1 species